rnacentral:rRNA from 1 species
GUCCACACGGUAAACGAUGAAUGCUAGGUGUAGGAGGUAUCGACCCCUUCUGUGCCGCAGUUAACACAAUAAGCAUUCCGCCUGGGGAGUACGGUCGCAAGAUUAAAACUCAAAGGAAUUGACGGGGGCCCGCACAAGCAGCGGAGCAUGUGGUUUAAUUCGACGCAACGCGAAGAACCUUACCAGGUCUUGACAUCCAGUUAAAGCUGUUGAAAGAUAGUGUCCCUUCGGGGGAACUGAGACAGGUGGUGCAUGGUUGUCGU